rnacentral:lncRNA from 1 species
GCUGGCUAUCUGUAAACCCACACAUAAAAGUGUGAUAAGUAUCAAUAUUAAAGUGCACUUGACGUGAUAGAUACAAAAUACUUUUGUAUUAUAAAAUCACUCCUAGGGUUAAAAACAAAAAUCUUGCCUGAUGGCUUCCCCAGCUGCCAUGGCUCCUUAUUCAGCUGUUUCUUCCUCGGAUCCUCAUCAACCAUGCUACCUAUUGAGUAAUCCAGGCAUUCUUACGGUUAUCUCAUCCACACUUCUUGCUAAUUGCCUACAUGGUCUAGGUUCUCAGGGAUUAAGUUCAUAUAAUGCACCUUAGGGAAAAAAUGCUUUCCGUUGGGAACAUAGGGCGUUUCGAUAAAUGUCCUCUGCUGAUUCCAAUCGUAUAACACAACUGGUCCUCCCGAGGGCAGUAAGUGCUUUUACAUCUUUUACUGGGUGCUAAAGAAGAUAACCAGAGUUCUCACCUCAAUGGAAAUUACGAUGGUCGUAAAAGUGUCCUGUCUUCAUGGAACCCGGGAUGGCCGUGCGAUUCAAGCAAGGGCAACGCAGUUCUCCUACCCUGGGAUUCUGAUGCACGUAAGGGUGAGUGACCGCUUGGAGCUGAUGAACUCCAGCACCAACAGCUCUCCUUUAUUUCUGAUUAUUCACAUCUGGGAGGUGCCUUUGACAGUGACCUUCCAGACACCAGGUGUUCAAGUUUUCCUUACAUCUAUGUCUUGUCCUAUACGCUCUAAGCCAU